AUGAUGCAUAUUGAACUUCAACCAAUCUCACUUUCUCAAGAACUGCCUUUUGAUAGACUAGCUUCCCCCGGGAAACCAUCCUUACAGCUAAAGAGACCAUAUCAUCAUGCCUAAAGGGACCGAUAGAAGAAGUCUAAAUGUAGUGUAUAGUAGUAGAGUGACCGUCUUCUUUAUUUUUUGAAUUCUAACUCCUAGCGAGGGCCCCUUCCGCCCUUUCCCUUUGCUAGGCAGUUC
rnacentral:lncRNA from 1 species